rnacentral:rRNA from 1 species
UACGUAGGCAGCGAGCGUUGUUCGGAGUUACUGGGCGUAAAGGGUGUGUAGGCGGUCCCUUAAGUUUGGUGUGAAAUCUCCCGGCUCAACUGGGAGGGUGCGCCGGAUACUGAGGGGCUAGAGUGCGGGAAGGGAAAGUGGAAUUCCUGGUGUAGCGGUGAAAUGCGUAGAUAUCAGGAGGAACACCGGUGGCGAAGGCGGCCAGCUGGCGCUGACCUGACGCUGAGGCGCGAAGGCAUGGGGAGCGAACGGG